CCAAAUCGCCUGAUGCUUAUGAAUGAACUUCUCUUUGAACUAAUUCAUCGGUUUUAUUCAAACAACAGAAAGUAGGGCUUUUGACCGCCUUCUCGACCCCUGGUAACAGUUCUCGACGCCUUCAAAACAGUAGCAGUUCUAUUGAAGUUCAUUUUUAUCAAUCUUGUGUUGUUAAUCUUGAAUGCCAUUUUUAUAGUUAGUAUGUUUAUUUAGAGUCGAGAACUGCAAGAAGCAAAUUGCAUAUUGUUGUAAGGCCAAUUUUAUGAGCAGUUGUUGUUCUAUUUUGAUUUUCAAUUUGGAAUUGCUUUAGGAUUGCUUUUGAGUGAUAAUGCACUAAUUUAUUAUUUGGGUAUGCAGAUACAUGGCAGGUUGCAGUUACUAGAUACUUAAAUGUCACACCUAUUGUUCUAGAUUGGACAAAUCAUCACACCUUUGUUGGCUACAUCUUGAUAGUAUUGCUGCUGCUUAAGGGACACAUUCUAUUGGUUUCUUGAUGAGGAAUUUCUUAGACAAAUGAUUGUUGCUCUCAAUCCAAUUAGCAUAAAGUUUGAUGCUUCUAUGCAUUUUGUCCACCAGGUAGUACUUUCAAUAGUGUUGAAUAUAUGUUGAUGUGCCAUAAGCACUUAAUGUCAAUCUAUUAAGUGAAAGGUAAUUGGUUAUGUUUGUCCUCCAAUGUGAGUAUGUCAUAUAAGAAUUUAACAGUUUUAAAUCUGAAUUUAAAAUCUAAGAAUGAAGUUUGCUUCUGUAUCUUGACAAACAGACUUAACCCUCAAAAGAUGUUGCUGAAAUCUUCAAAAAUUUCUUGCAAUUUACAAAUCCACGAUUUUGGAAUAGUAAAGUUGCAUGGAGUGUGAACCUUGUCAUCAGACUACCAUUGGAGACAUUCCUACACCAACUUGGCAUGCUUUCAAGGAUCAAGAACUGGGGGUCUUUGGCAUCGUGAUCUCUGUCGUUUCAAUAUGAGGAAAAGAGUACCCAUAUCUUUUGGACCAAGAAGAACCAUAAUUGACAAAGAACUUGAAGUUAGAAGAUUGUCAUGUCAUCGUUUGAUUUUUGUGACAUUUUAUGUUUCAACUUUCAAGAAAUGAAGGCGUUGCCAAAACUGGUUUUGGUAUACCUGAACUCCCAAUCCUCUCUAUCUUUUGCUGCAAUUACGGAAUAUGGGAACUUUUCAUAUUCUUUAUCUUUCUGUUCAAUGUGUAUUUUUAUAAAUCGAUUUAAAACAAGUCCCGAGUAUAUGUUAUAUUGUUGUUUAACAAUCCUUGGCCGGUGAAAACAAUGUUGUUUACUGUAA